CCUACGGGUGGCAGCAGUGAGGAAUAUUGGUCAAUGGGCGCGAGCCUGAACCAGCCAAGUCGCGUGAGGGAAGACGGUCCUAGGGAUUGUAAACCUCUUUUGUCGGGGAGCAAAAGACGCCACGCGUGGCUUUCCGAGAGUACCCCAAGAAAAAGCAUCGGCAAACUCCGUGCCAGCAGCCGCGGUAAUAGGCAGGAUGCGAGCGUUAUCCGGAUUUAUUGGGGUUAAAGGGUGCGCAGGCGGAAGAUCAAGUCAGCGGGAAAAUGGCGGGGCUAAACCUCUUCGAGCUGUUGAAACUGGUGUUCUGGAGUGAGCGAGAAGUAUGAGGAAUGCGUGGUGUAGCGGUGAAAUGCAUAGAUAUCACGCAGAACACCGAUGGCGAAGGCAGCAUACCGGCGCUCAACUGACGCUCAUGCACGAAAGUGUGGGGAUCGAACAGGAUUAGAUACCCUAGUAGUC
rnacentral:rRNA from 1 species